UACAGAGGGUGCGAGCGUUGUUCGGAUUUACUGGGCGUAAAGGGCGCGUAGGCGGCCUUGUCAGUCAGGCGUGAAAGCCCCGGGCUCAACCUGGGAACGGCGCUUGGGACGGCGAGGCUGGAGUUCGGGAGAGGAGAGUGGAAUUCCCAGUGUAGAGGUGAAAUUCGUAGAUAUUGGGAAGAACACCGGUGGCGAAGGCGGCUCUCUGGACCGACACUGACGCUGAGGCGCGAAAGCGUGGGGAGCAAACAGG
rnacentral:rRNA from 1 species